GAAAUGCGAUAAGUAAUGUGAAUUGCAGAAUUCAGUGAAUCAUCGAAUCUUUGAACGCACAUUGCGCCCCCUGGCAUUCCGGGGGGCAUGCCUGUUCGAGCGUCAUUACACCACUCAAGCCUGGCUUGGUAUUGAGCGCCGCGGCCUGCCCGCGCGCUCCAAUGUCUCCGGCUGAGCCGUCCGUCUCUAAGCGUUGUGAAUAGCGAUCGCUUGCGAGGCCCGGGCGGGUCGACGCCGUUAAACCCCCCAUUUUCUAUGGUUGACCUCGGAUCAGGUAGGGAUACCCGCUGAACUUAAGC
rnacentral:misc_RNA from 1 species